AGCUGCCGAAUGUGCUCCCGCGGGAAUGGGAGGCUGGGCUUUGCCACGAGACAGCCGAGGCUGGUCGGAGACAGCCGAGCACGGCAGUCGGAGGCUCACGAAAACACUAGAAAGCGGAAGGGUCGGGAACGCAUUCGGUCCGAAGCUGGGCUCGGUGGACUUGGGACUCUGAGAUACCCGAGCCAUUCCGGAAGCAGCAGAACGUGCCAUGACAGGGGUUUGUUUGUGUUUUUUACGAAGUCGUGAACCUGCCAGACCGCGGAACGUGUCUGGGAGGAACCGAACGACCUCAACUCCAGGCCUUGGGAGUUGACUCGGAGGCCGCCGAUAGCUUCCGGAAAUUGCCGAAGGUCCACUGGACGAGCUCGGCAGCUGUACCCUCAAUGGAGAGCCGCUGGUGGAAGGAAUGGAAGGCGAAGGCACUGCCAUGACAACCCUAGGCGUCCGGAAACAGCCGAAGUGUCUCCGGCCCAACACGCGCGAGAAUGCGGCUUAUCAGCGUCCGGAAGCGAGAUUGUUUCCGGAAAUACGGACAGACUCUGGCGAGACGGAGAGAACCAGAAGUUGCCGAGCUUGUUCGGCUGAUUUCCGAGGGAUUCAUUUAUCUAUUUUAGCUCACCGCAAAGACUAGGGUAGAAAAUUGGGACGGAGGGGUUGCAGCGAGAGUUCGGCAGUUAAGCAUGCUCACUGCUCUUGCACAGGAUCCAGGUUCAGUAAAUUACAGCCGCGUAUAACCCGACUGGAAUUAAAAGCAAGUGCUAUGACGCCCAGCGUUUUGGAUUUUUCCUUUUUAAGAUUUACUUUUGUGUUUUUCUUCAUGUUCAACUGUGCGCCUUGUGAGUACCUGGUGUCUGUGGAAGUUAGAAGAGACAUCGGAUGCUCUAGAACUUGAGUUACGGCUGUGAGCUGCCAUGUAGUUGCUGGGAAUACAACCUGGGUCCUCUAGAAGAGCAGCCAGUGCUUUUAAUCAUUGAUUCCUUUGGCUUUAUUAUUUGAAACAGGGUCUUGUUAUUA
rnacentral:lncRNA from 1 species